CGAAGGGUGCAAGCGUUACUCGGAAUUACUGGGCGUAAAGCGUGCGUAGGUGGUUCGUUAAGUCUGAUGUGAAAGCCCUGGGCUCAACCUGGGAACUGCAUUGGAUACUGGCGAUCUGGAGUGCGGUAGAGGGGGUGCGGAAUUCCCGGUGUAGCAGUGAAAUGCGUAGAUAUCGGGAGGAACAUCCGUGGCGAAGGCGGCACCCUGGACCAGCACUGACACUGAGGCACGAAAGCGUGGGGAGCAAACAGGAUU
rnacentral:rRNA from 1 species